rnacentral:rRNA from 1 species
UACGAAGGGGGCUAGCGUUGCUCGGAAUCACUGGGCGUAAAGCGCACGUAGGCGGCUUUUUAAGUCAGAGGUGAAAUCCUGGAGCUCAACUCCAGAACUGCCUUUGAUACUGAGGAGCUUGAGUCCGGGAGAGGUGAGUGGAACUGCGAGUGUAGAGGUGAAAUUCGUAGAUAUUCGCAAGAACACCAGUGGCGAAGGCGGCUCACUGGCCCGGUACUGACGCUGAGGCACGAAAGCGUGGGGGAGCAAACAGG